rnacentral:rRNA from 1 species
GAACCGUACGAACGUUAUUCGGAAUCACUGGGCUUAAAGAGUGCGUAGGCGGCCUGGCAAGUUGGGUGUGAAAUCCCUCGGCUCAACCGAGGAACUGCGCCCAAAACUGCUAGGCUUGAGGGAGAUAGAGGUGAGCGGAACUAAUGGUGGAGCGGUGAAAUGCGUUGAUAUCAUUAGGAACACCUGAGGCGAAAGCAGCUCACUGGGUCUCUUCUGACGCUGAGGCACGAAAGCUAGGGGGGGAGCGAACGGGAUUAGAUACCCCGGUAGUCCUAGCUGUAAACGAUGAGCACUGGGUUGAGGGGACUUCCACAUCCUCUCGGCCGUAGCGAAAGUGUUAAGUGCUCCGCCUGGGAGUAUGGUCGCAAGGCUG